rnacentral:lncRNA from 1 species
CAAGGAUUUGGCCUCAAGACUGACAUGCCAUGUCUCACCUGACUUUCCAUUCAGCUACGAUAUAAGUGUCGGGACGUUAAACAAAUGCUUGCUUGGGAAGCACUCAGAAAGCACAUGACACACGGAGAUAAGCCUAUUAGUUCUCCCUAAAGUUAUCUGUUGAAGUUCCAGUGUCUUGGAGGGUUCUCCCGGCUGAGAUCAAAAAAGCAUGCUCUUAGAACGACGGCCGUGGGUCCCCUAUAUGCAUCAGGGCCGUGUCAGCUAUCACAGACUGAAUAGACUUCUGACCUUGGAAAAGCAAGUGCGCAGGUCAAAGCCAUUUCUUCCAAGAUGAGUUUGAACUCCACUGACUUUUAGUUGGAGUAUUUGACUCGUUUACUUCUUCUUUUGUUUCUUGGUGGUUAUAGGUUAGGUUUACUUAGAGGACCUGAAAAAUACCAUCUCAUAUUUCCCGGUUUGCAUUGCUGAUGUAUUGAUCUUCUCUCCAAAUUAAAGCAUUCCCUUAGGAGGAAGAAGAAAUGCUCAUAAAAGUCAGCGAGCAAGUGAACACUGAGGGCUCUGUGAGACUUGGACAGAAUGAAGAAAAGCCAGGCCAUUAAGCAGUGCAUAUAAAACUUUAAUAAGAGUCAGACAUACAAAUGAGCUUCGUUUUAUGCAAUGUUAACACAGGGGGAUUACGGUUUUCUGAGAAUGCAUCAUGUAAAGAAGGACUUGAAGGAACAGGGGAGAUUGUGGGAGUCUGUAAGAGAGCUCGUUCUAGGCAGGAAGCAGAAGGAGCCGAGGGAGACGUUUACCUGACUGCUGCAGGGGUAGUAUAUUGGCUGGCACAGCGGCAUAGGAUGAAUGGAGAAGAGCAGAUUCGCAUAAACCCAUGGAGCAAACUAACAAUGUGUGCGAUUUUCGGUGGUGUCGGGUUCCUUAUGAUGCUCUUGGCAGGAUGUGAGCCACCAAUGAAGAAGACAAGGAUGUGGGUGGUGGCUCGAGCCAGAGUUCCCAUCAGCGGUGGAAGUCACCCUGGUGUACCCUGGUGUCCCAGUCCUCACCGUUAUUAACUCCACUGGUUGUAGCCGUCACAUCUUUGGCAUUGGAACUGAAGCACCGAAGAUAAUUUCUACUUUCUCCACCGUCUAACUUUCAGUUUUAAGGGGAACUUGUCAUAUGUAAAAAAAAACAAAAAAUUGUAAAUGUUUCUUUGUGGGCAUCUUUUUACAUUUGUUUCUUUCUUCCUGGAAUCAUAUUUAGUGGCCUUAUGAUAAGCAAGAAGAGGUGAUGUUUCCAAAGAUUAUAAUUAUAGAAAAAACGGAGUGUUGGCACAGGCCUGUAAUCUGAGCAGUUGGAAGGUUUGAAGUUCAAGGUCUUCUUCAGCUUCGCAGUGAGUCAGGUCAGGGGCUAGGCUGCCAUACUUGAGACCCUGUCCCACAUUUAGAAAAGGAAAACUCAAAGAAAUAGAAAUAUCCAAAUCUCCCAUUUUUCCCAAGGGGCAGAUGGUAGAUUUCCUUAGCAGAACAUACACCUUCCCAG